AGAGUUUGAUCAUGGCUCAGGAUGAACGCUGGCGGCGUGCCUAACACAUGCAAGUCGAGCGACUUACUUCGGUAAAGAGCGGCGGACGGGUGAGUAACGCGUGGGUAACCUGCCCUAUACACACGGAUAACAUACCGAAAGGUAUGCUAAUACGAGAUAAUAUAAGAGAUUCACAUGGAUUUCUUAUCAAAGCUGAGGCGGUAUAGGAUGGACCCGCGUCUGAUUAGCUAGUUGGUAAGGUAACGGCUUACCAAGGCGACGAUCAGUAGCCGACCUGAGAGGGUGAUCGGCCACAUUGGAACUGAGACACGGUCCAAACUCCUACGGGAGGCAGCAGUGGGGAAUACUGCACAAUGGGCGAAAGCCUGAUGCAGCAACGCCGCGUGAGUAAUGAAGGCCUUCGGGUCGUAAAACUCUGUCCUCAAGGAAGAUAAUGACGGUACUUGAGGAGGAAGCCCCGGCUAACUACGUGCCAGCAGCCGCGGUAAUACGUAGGGGGCUAGCGUUAUCCGGAUUUACUGGGCGUAAAGGGUGCGUAGGUGGUCUCUUAAGUCAGGAGUGAAAGGCUACGGCUUAACCGUAGUAAGCUCUUGAAACUGGGAGACUUGAGUGCAGGAGAGGAAAGUGGAAUUCCUAGUGUAGCGGUGAAAUGCGUAGAUAUUAGGAGGAACACCAGUAGCGAAGGCGGCUUUCUGGACUGUAACUGACACUGAGGCACGAAAGCGUGGGGAGCAAACAGGAUUAGAUACCCUGGUAGUCCACGCCGUAAACGAUGAGUACUAGGUGUCGGGGGUUACCCCCUCGGUGCCGCAGCUAACGCAUUAAGUACUCCGCCUGGGGAGUACGCUCGCAAGAGUGAAACUCAAAGGAAUUGACGG
rnacentral:rRNA from 1 species